CCGGAGAAAACACCACGCUGACGGGCGUCGAUAAGCGGCGUGAACUCCACGUCCACAAGGCCAUGUAAGCUGUGUGGGGAACAACAAACCUUUCUGAGCUCGGCAGCUCUCGGUGGUGAGGAUGAUGAGAAGGGACAGGACGAGAACCCCGGCCCCUGUCGGCCCCCUGCCCACCAUUACCGCUCUGCCCAUAGCAGCCUGCAGUCGGAAUGCAUAAUGCUCGCCUCUGGACCAGCUGCACCGCUUCAGCCUGGACGGAGGAGACACACACACAAAAAAAAUAAUAAUAAAAAAAACAAGGUAAAUCCUCA